UUUGCCACACAGCAGCCAAACUGGCGGGAGCACGAUCGAGGCGCAGCAGAAUACAUGUAGCGCUGAGUCAUAUCGAGUUAAGGCACACUCUGAACUGACUUUUAAGGGCAUCCCGAGCGGUUUUUCAUUUAUUACGCCGUCGUUACCCUGAGUUAAAUUGUGCCGCCGCGCUCCAGCUGUUGCAUUUCGUGUAGUGCUACUGCCAGAAUGCGGUUUCCAGGUGGCACGAUGGCCUCGACUGGAAUAAACGCACACGACACCAAAGAUUGAGUAAGCCUGAAAAUAUUUUAUUUGCAUUUUACAAGUACAACAAAAAUCACACGUCUACGCAUCCACACAAACGCGGUUACAUAAUCAAGAACAUAGUCAAGAAAUUGCUCAUUAAUAAGGGUAGCACAAACGCACAAGAAAGAAGACCUAAGCUACAAAACGUACGGUCGGCUGCUAAGUAUAAUAAUUUCCCUGUCACCGCGUGUCACUAUUAUACAGCAUCUUUACAGCACUACCAGGCCGUGUAGUUUGGCGGAAAGAACGCAACAGCUUAUACGGCCGUCAGCUGCCUCUUCCUUACGGGUGUCAUAAUUAUCCUAAUCUCCGCAUCAACGUCGUGCAAGUUCGCAUACAGGCAUCUGUAUCUGAACCAUAUGUGCCAGCUUAAUACACGUGUAGUGAAAUUAUGAUAACCACUGCGUCUUAUCAAACGUAUUGGUUUUGCAAAUGCGCAUUACAGCUGACGGAACGACAUACUGUAAGUGAAGCACAAGAGAACAAGGACAAAAGGAGGAUAUAACACUUGAAGAAAUGAAGGAUUAGUAGGCAUACAGCAAACAAGCGAUGACGGAGAACACACAAUGAUGCAUCGGGUGUUCUGUGACAUCGGUUUGCGUACUUACGGUGUUAUGGAGAUCAACUGCAUAAAAACGUACCUUCAAGCGUACUCCCUCAACCUCCGCCGCAUUCAUUAUGAUAAUCAACGCCUAAACAAAAUGAGGCACUAUUCUUUGCCAAGAGUAGACCUUUUUACAGCGUCUAUGUAAUGACUCGCAGACGAAACCAGCAUGCUUUCGAAAAUGUUUUACCGCCGUAGUAUUCGAACGCCAACGGCCAGGAAACACAUCGAUACCAAUAGGCUGUCGGCUGUCGGUGGUUAAUCGAGCACAAAAACCUUGACGCUAUGACUAAAAAGCAGCUUCAACAAUCAAAUUAAAAAAAAAUCAACUGCCUAUUUGCCUGAGGUAAAAAAGCAUCCUUAGACACCUCGGGCGCGAUCUUGUACGCGUUCCAAAAUAGAACGGACCGCCUCCGUUCUAAACGUCACGAAAUAGGCGGUUCGCAGUGUUCGCGAGAACGAGAGGAAGCAAACAGCCAAUGAGCGAAGUGGAAGCCUGCGUCACGCUUUUGACGUCUGCUUGGGGACCGUAUAAUAUAUUGAGAAGCGUUUGCAACAUGUUGAGAAAUAUUUUGCUAUUAUGAGUGAGUAGCAAAAUGCGUUGGUGUUGCUUUUCAAAGAUUCAAUUUGGAAUGCAAAACAACUGAAACAAAAUAUUGUGGUUAAUGUCUUCAAAUGGCGCUAGGUGGUGUCGCAGUUUUGCGAAACGUUUAGUGAUGGCGCUAGCUACCACCCCGUUUGAAGCACACGGCGCGAAUUUUGAAGCGGUUGGUUUAGUCGUUCAGUUGAAGCCAUGGCGCUUAACGUAGAAGCACCGACGAAGGGGCCGCGCGUGUCGGCGGCUCAGAAGGAGACGGUGGUCGCCUUCAUGCAAGAGCAUCCCCAGCUGGCUAUAAGAUCCAGCGAGCUGGGGCCACGCUUCACUGCUGGCGACCGCCGACGGCUGUGGCAGCAGCUAGCCGACCAGCUCAACACGCAAGGCCCCGUCGUGAAAACCGUCGAGCAGUGGCAAGAGUGGUGGCGGAAGCAAGUCUUCGAGGCGCGCCGCAACGCUGCCGCACUUGCCCAAGAACAAAGGUGAGUGACUGUCCAAUGGCCUGGGCGAUUUGUCCUUCGACAUUGGCGUGUAUUUUCAGAAAAACAGGAGGGGGCGGCUGCAUGGCUUCCAUGGCAGAGUACUGCAGCUCACCGGGACGGUCCGCCUCCACGGCGUGACCGACCUCCCCUACCAAGAGCAGGCUGACGUCCCCACCUAUGCGAUGGAAGUCGUCGUCGAAGACGAGGCUGCGGGCGUGAGCACAGCGACACCGGCAGAGGAUCCACCGCGCGGCGCGGCGCCUGCCGAAAGGGUGGCCGCUGCACCUG